AUUGAACGCUGGCGGCAUGGCUAAUGCAUGCAAGUCGAACGAAAGCCCUUCGGGGCGAAAGUGGCGAAAGGGCGAGUAAUACGAUCGAACGUACCCCAAGGUGGAGGAUAGUGUCGGGAAACUGACGGUAAUACUCCAUGUGCUCUUCGGAGGAAAGCUUUGGCGCCUCGGGAGCGGCGAUCGUCCUAUCAGGUAGUUGGUGAGGUAAUGGCUCACCAAGCCGAAGACGGGUAGCGGGUGUGAGAGCAUGACCCGCCGCAUCGGGACUGAGACACUGCCCGGACUCCUACGGGAGGCUGCAGCGACGAAUCUUCCGCAAUGGGCGCAAGCCUGACGGAGCAAUGCCGCGUGUGGGACGAAGCGUCUUCGACGUGUAAACCACUGUCAGAAUCUAGGAACACUGACCAGAUUCAAAGGAAGGGCCGGCUAACCUCGUG
rnacentral:rRNA from 1 species